UUGUCCCUAACGUCCAUGAAUUUGUAGUGAAAACAUUCCAAAUAUAUAUGUACCCCAAUAUAUAAAUGACGAUAAAAAUAAAUAAUUGAUGCUCUAAAUUCCUAAAAAUUAAAAGAUAAAAUAUGUUUUUGAAAACUUGGUAUCCGGCCUUAGGACCGACUAAUCCAAGGGGAUCAAUCCCACCGCCCACUUGCGGGAGCCCCAUUUAAAGCCAGAGUUUUUUUGCUCUGUAUGGACUUAGCCCACCGAAAUUGGCACCAAUGGGAAUCGAACCUGAGACCUUGAGAGGAGCAUACUC
rnacentral:lncRNA from 1 species